GGAAUAUUGGACAAUGGGCGCAAGCCUGAUCCAGCCAUGCCGCGUGCAGGAUGACGGUCCUAUGGAUUGUAAACUGCUUUUGCACAGGAAGAAACAACUCUACGUGUAGAGUCUUGACGGUACUGUGAGAAUAAGGAUCGGCUAACUCCGUGCCAGCAGCCGCGGUAAUACGGAGGAUCCAAGCGUUAUCCGGAAUCAUUGGGUUUAAAGGGUCCGUAGGCGGUCUUAUAAGUCAGUGGUGAAAUCUCCCCGCUCAACGGGGAAACGGCCAUUGAUACUGUAGGACUUGAAUUAUUAGGAAGUAACUAGAAUAUGUAGUGUAGCGGUGAAAUGCUUAGAGAUUACAUGGAAUACCAAUUGCGAAGGCAGGUUACUACUAAUGGAUUGACGCUGAUGGACGAAAGCGUGGGUAGCGAACAGGAUUAGAUACCCCAG
rnacentral:rRNA from 1 species